CGGAUGUAGCCAAGUGGAUCAAGGCAGUGUAUUGUGAAUCC
rnacentral:tRNA from 1 species